rnacentral:lncRNA from 1 species
CAUUACUGUGAAAUUCAUUCAUGCUGUUACGUGUAAGAGUGACUUUGUUCAUUUUUUUUCCUUUCUCACCAUAAGGAAGAGAUACUGACGUAAAAGAGCUGAUCUGUUCAACACUUUUUCAACUUGUGGAAUGUACUGGCCAAUGCAAUGCCUGGAUUAGAAUGCUCUGUGGCCAUUUGUAUUUUUUGUUGUUUCCACAAAAAUAAUAAGCUUUGGGGUUAGAAAGAUUAUAGAGAGAGUGAGUGUGAUCCCUGUGAGUGCCCUCUGACCUCUGUAAUAAUGACUCUGCUCGGAAUUGUCUCUCUGUCAUAACGGAUGUGUUCUCUCUUCCUUCUUGUCCCCCUAAAAUGCAAAACUGUUUCACAUCCCCAGGCUGCACCCUUUUACGUAAAAUAGAGCUGCCACAUGAUUUUACUGGAAAGUUGAUUUAUUUCGGAGGAUCAUGACAGUCCAAGGAUGAACUGGCAUGUGGCCAUAGGGAGAGCCCUUGACCUAGAAGCAGGGACAACUUCGAAGCUGUGUUGGUAAAUAACGGAACACGGCACUUUUAGCCUGAAUCAUAGCCUCAAAACUUUCAAAACUGUCCUCCAAAAGGAAAGACCUUGAGAUGUAAUUAUUACAGCUUCAAAUGUCCCUAGUGAUAUUAAUUAGAUAAUCAAAUUUGGAUCACAGGAAUGAACACCCUAACGUGUGCCUUCAUUACUGCUCUCAAAAUAAUUCACUGAAGAUAAUUCUGCCAUGCCCCACCCACAAAUCUGUCAUUAGACCACGGACAUAGUCAGCCAAUUUUGCAAGAAUGCUCAACAUGGUCAAGUUGAUUCUCAAAACAAAGAAUGUCAUGUUUGAACACAACAGGUCUUUACCUCACAAAAACUACUACAAGCACCAGGCUCCCUGAUGGAAAGAAGCACCGUGCAGCAAGUCGCGAGGCUGGUCCGCGCACGCCGGGGAUUGGUUUGCCAUCCUUGUGAGACGGUCUCCUGCUCCACGGCCACUCCAGGGAGGUGCGCCCCAUAUCAGCCUACUGGAGCAAAAUGAAAGAGUUUAUUCUGAAGUCUCUCAAGCACAGCUGCUCCAGGCCGUGAACAAGAAAGUGUGGACUUCAGCCUGUGGGAAUGGUCUUGAAACACAAGCGGGCGUGGGUGACGUGGGAGUACAGCUGUUCAUAUGCACCCCAACACCUCUGGCCCCAGCUUGACACCAAGGAAGGGAGAGCCCUGGGAGGGGUGAGGCGUGGAGGGGAGCUUCUAAAUUCAUGAUCUUGCCAGUCAGUCAGCAUUGCCAAUAAAUGUCAGCUUGCAGCCAACGUAUGCCCUGGAGGGAGCUGAUCUCCCCCAUGUUUGUGAAACAGAUUCCGUUACCUGGCC